AUUAAAGUGAAAUUGAGUGUUUGAUCACUAACCCUCAGAAAUACGAAUAGAAAACUGAUACUAGUUUAAUUACCUUACUUUAUAACCAUGGGUUUAUUUUUCUCAAGCUUGAAGGAUCUUUUCGAGUCUUUUUCCUCUGGGUCUCCGGCAAGGAUUGUCAUGCUGGGAUUAGAUGCUGCCGGUAAGUUGUUUAUUUAAAAAUCACAAAAAAUCAUACAUAUUAAGUUUGAUUACUCAAAUUUUCAGUAUGCAUGUUGAUUUCAUUCUUUUGUUUACAUUUCAACGGCCAUGUUUACAAAGCUAGUCCUAUUCAUUUGCAGGAAAGACAACAAUAUUGUACAAGAUAAAGCUGAAUGAGAUUGUGUCCACCAUCCCUACCAUAGGUUUCAAUGUGGAGACUGUGUCCCCCGUAAAGGGCGUGACCUUCACCGUCUGGGACAUCGGGGGUCAGGACAAAAUCAGACCACUGUGGAAACACUACUUUAAUAACACCGAAGGUGAAUUUACUGAAUAUAAAAAUCCAUUGCACAAUUCCUAGUUCUUUAUUUUCCUUGUAAAACAUAGAUAAAAAUUAAUGUGAGAAACUCGAUCUAGAUCUAAAGCAAAUUUUCUUUACUGCAGGAUUGGUGUAUGUUGUGGACAGUAAUGACAGAGAGAGAAUCCUGGAGUCACGUGAAGAACUGUUUGGGAUUUUAAACAGCGAUGAAAUGAGAGGAGUUCCGGUGGUGGUCAUUGCCAAUAAACAGGAUCUUCCGAGUAAGGAGAUAUGUUAGAGAGAAAAGUCGAGUUUUGUACGCAAAUGCAAUUACUUAAAGUAAUUAAUGAACUUUAUGAAAUUUAUAUUACUUCUAAAUAAUUUUCAUAAUUUCUUUUCAAUAGAUGCAUUAAGUACCUCGAAAGUGGCAGACCUGAUGAGCUUACACAAGCUGACUUCACGAAAGUGGUACAUUCAAGCCGCCUGCGCAACAACAGGUGAAGGGAUUUUUGAGGCCAUGAAAGAGCUGUCCUCCAUGGUAAAAGAAUACAAGAAAGGGAUGAGAUGAAGCCUUUUCUCUCAAAGAUAAUGUGUAUGAUAUACACCACUGAUAGUGACACACCAAACAGUAUUGUGGGAGAAUCCUGCGCCACGACAUUGCGCGCUGUCCGUGGUUCCGUGUGCUUUUCUUCAUAUUUGACUCACAUCUAAACAUCGUUGGUUUUAUUGAAAGGCAGAUUUCUAGUCUGUAAAAAUAACGAAAUCGUUAAUUUUUAUUGAAGUUUUAUGAAUUUGAAGAACUGAAUGUUGGUAAAAGCUUCGAUUUUAUUAUCACACUCGAGGCAUAUGUUUUACAUUUCAUUAUAUAUAUUCGUGUGUGUCUACUUAUGAUUUUAUAUUUAUUGUUAACUCAAUAGCUUAAUGAAUGCAGUCAUGAAUGUAUUUGCAAACCUCAUUGAUUUAAGUGAUAUAUUCAUAUUUUUAUUAAUUUAUUUUUGUUAGCAAAAAUAAUAUGUUAACAAUCAUGCAUUAUUUUUACUUUUAUAAUACUGACUAUUAAUAUUUUGAUACUGUUAUUUUUAUUUUCAAUUGUUACUUCUUGGAUAAUAAAAAAUU
rnacentral:misc_RNA from 1 species